rnacentral:misc_RNA from 1 species
UGGAUUGAACGGCCACUCCGUGAGGUAAUACUCCUUAUCAAGCAGUUUUUCACUUUGAUCAGUUGUAGAUGUGAUCUUGUCUGGAUGGAUAAAUUGCGAUGCCUUGAGACCAAACUUCCUUUAGCUUGAUUUAUGUAUUAAUGUAACUAUACCUUCAAAUGUUGAUCUAAUCUGAAACAUGCACCACACUUAACCUGGCUGUUUUAACUAAUUCAGAAGGCUGCAGGUUUGCAACUCCAAAUGUUAAAUUGGCUUGUCAACAGAUUCUUCUACUCUCCAUAAACAUCCAUGAAUAAUAAUAAUAAUAAUAAAUCCCAUUUCAAUCAAAAUCCAACUUAUUAAAGAUUGAUAAAUAUAUUCACCAUCUUAUUCCAGACAUCAUGCUAACAUUUAUCAUGAAGAUAUAGAUGCAAAAGCUAGUAAAUAAAAUUAUCUGGGUCUGUUAAUUAUUCUCAACCUUAGCUAUUCAUAAAACACUUGUUUGUUUGUCAGAAGAGCAGACUUUACCUCACAAAGAGGUGAAAAUUGUGUGCUCUGCAUAGCUUUAUGGUUCUGGUUGGUAUAUUUGAGGGUGGAGGUCCGAGGUACAUGUAAACUUCUUGUGCAAUCAAAGGAUAGGAAGUAUAUUUUGUUCUAUAGCGCCCAUAAUUAUAUGCUGCAAGUUGCAUCUAAAGUAGUUAAUGUCUGUGGCAGAGGAUUCUGCAGAAUUAUAACU